rnacentral:rRNA from 1 species
UUGCGUAGUAGCUAACACCUCGCAACUGGAGAGCGGCGCGGCCACGCCGUAAAACCCCCAACUUCUGAACGUUGACCUCGAAUCAGGUAGGAAUACCCGCUGAACUUAAGCAUAUCAAUAAGCGGAGGAAAAGAAACCAACAGGGAUUGCCCUAGUAACGGCGAGUGAAGCGGCAACAGCUCAAAUUUGAAAUCUGGCUCUCGGGCCCGAGUUGUAAUUUGUAGAGGAUGCUUUUGGUGAGGUGCCUUCCGAGUUCCCUGGAACGGGACGCCACAGAGGGUGAGAGCCCCGUCUGGUUGGACACCGAUCCUCUGUAAAGCUCCUUCGACGAGUCGAGUAGUUUGGGAAUGCUGCUCUAAAUGGGAGGUAUAUGUCUUCUAAAGCUAAAUACCGGCCAGAGACCGAUAGCGCACAAGUAGAGUGAUCGAAAGAUGAAAAGAACUUUGAAAAGAGAGUUAAAAAGUACGUGAAAUUGUUGAAAGGGAAGCGCUUGUGACCAGACUUGGGCUUGGUUGAUCAUCCAGGGUUCUCCCUGGUGCACUCUUCCGGCCCAGGCCAGCAUCAGUUCGCCCCGGGGGAAAAAGGCUUCGGGAA